AGCCCCCACCCCCUUUCUUCCUAAACCUAACGCUGAAACGGAAUCAGACAGGGAGAGAGGGAGGAAAUCAGAGUGUCAUCUAAGCAGCCACCGUUCAAUCGCCAGAGCCACCACCGGGGGUCCUUCGCCGUCAUUGUCGUCAACAUCCACCCGAGUUCCAGCGCUACGAAGUCCAGCCAUCGUGACCUUCGUGGAGCCCGCGUCGCUGUCGCCUCGGCUGUUCCCACCGCCGCUGGAUCCGUCGCACGUUGUCGUCUGAGGAGCCACCGCCGCCGUUGCUUGUUGUCUCCCUUAGGGCCGUCACCGUCGCUGGAGCCAGCCGCCUCCGUCGCUGUUCAUCCUUGUCGUCAUCAUCGCCAUUCUGUGGAGGCCGCAGAGAGGAACGCGAACCAGGAGCCAUAGCGCCGCCGCCGUCGAUCUGUCACCGUGCUGCUGCGUCGCCGUUGAUGAAGUUUCUGCCACCGCCGUGAACUGCGAAUAGAGGAGAGUUACUGCGUCGCCGUUAAUGAAACUUCUGCCACCGUCAUGAACUACGAAUAGAGGAGAGGAAAAGAGAUGAGUUCGCAAGGGAGAAGAGGAAGCAGCGCUGCCCUUCGUCGCCGCUGCUGCUAAGGUUUGUGGAAGAGAGUGUCGUCGUCGCCGUGAGUGGAGUCCACCGUCCGAGCCGCCACUAGAGAGCGCCGCUGCUACCAUGUGUACAGAGAAGAGGAGAGCCGCGAGAAUCAAGGGAAGAAGAUGUUGUUCUGCCUCUGCUUCUGGGUUUUGGAAUCUGACAUAAGCGCCACUGCCGCUGUUAGAGUUUAUGUUGCUCUGGCCUUGCUCUGGCUCUAAUCUGAAUUGUUACUGUUGCUGUUUGGCUGAUGCUGAGGCCUUCCAUCAUCAUUGGAGCUUCCCAGAAUCAUCGUGGUUGCUGCCAAGAGAGCUGAAUGGGUGCUGGAAAUUGCUAACGGAGCUGCUGUGCUUGGCAAUUUUCGUGAGUUUCGACAUUGAGGUAGGGGAUUUAUUUUUAAAGUUAAACAUUUUUAAUUUAGAAUACCUACAAAGUUAUUGGAUAAGUGCAAAUGGUUAACACUGGUUAAGAAUUUCUUAAUUAACAUGAAUGACUUGAAAUGCAUUUGAAAUUAGUUAGUCGUUCUGAUUAUUCUGAGCUGUGAUUGAACUUAGAUGCUAUUGUGAAUAACGAUUAAUCUAGUGUAACUUAUUAAAUUGAAAUAUGCCGAGUUAAUUGUUGAACAGCUGUUGAAUGGAUAAUUGAUGAAUUGAGUUUGGAUUGCUGCUGUGAAUGUAAUUGGUUUUGUUGUUAUGAGAGACUAAUUGAUAGAAAUAAGCUUGGUUUGAGGUUGUGAAAUUUGGAUGAAAUUUGAUGAUGUUUUAGUGUUCCAGUUGGAUUAUUGAAUUCAGGUUAUGGCUGUGAAUGUCUUUGGGCUUUGUUGUUAGUGUUUGAAGCUGUAAUUAAUAUUGUUUUCUCUAAUAUUGAUGGAAUUGUUGCAAAGUUCUAACUCUAUGUAAUUAUACUGAAUUAGUUGAGUUGUGUGGCUAAAAAUUAUGAUUGGAAUGAUUGAGAUUUUUUAUUGGAACUUUGGUUGAAUUCGUUGAUUUUGUGAAAUUGAAUUAUAAAUUGUUUGAUGAGAGAUUAUUGUGAUUUCGGUAUUUUGAUGGGUCAAGUUGAAAUUGUUGCUGUUGAGUUGGUUUACUGUAAUGGACUUAGUUAGUGAUUAAUUGAAGUUGGGCUUAAGGAAUAAUUGGAAGACUGAAUCUUAAAAUGUUGAAUUAAUUGCUGAAAAUCUGAUUUUUGAAAUUAAAAGAUGACUUUAGAAGUGAAUCAGUUAUUCAACGAUAAUCGAAAUGAUAUGAGAGUAAAGGCUGAUUAAACUAUAAUAAAAGUUGUUGCUGGGAUUCAAUUUUGAGAAGUUUGAAUUAACUAUAGAACUAGUUAUGAUUUUUCAAAGUUAAAAUGUAAAACUUGAUUUUCUGCAUUACUUUUAAAUGAAGCCGGAGACUUUGAAAAUCUAUAACUAAUUCUAUGAUGUUCGGAAUUGCAUGGGACUAAGUCUAGAUUAAGCUUGGGAAUAUAGGAAGCUGGACUGGUAAAUUUAAGACUUUUUCAUUAAGUUUAUGAUUUAUGGUGAAUUUUUGGAUUAUGAAUGUCAAAUCUGGUUUUCUGCAGAAAGCUUAACACAGCAGCAACUUGUUCCCUCUAUUAAAUAUUCUCCAGUUUGAAUUUUGAAAUCGAACCAAUUUUAAAUGAAACUCUGGUCCUAGUACUUUAAUUUCAUAAAAAGUUAGAAUUUUUAGAGUUGUGGUUUUAAAGAUAUGGAUUUUUAAAGUAAGAUGUAUUAUGCAGUAAAAAUCAGGUUUUGUUUUCUAAGUUAGUAACUUUCAGACUUUAUAAUUUUUAAUUCUGGAAUGAUAUUGAGAUGAAAUUAAUUGGAGGUGAAAUUUGAGUAUGUUUAGUAUAUAUGAUUUAAAUUUCAGGUUUUUCCAUGUUUUAGUAAGUUAGUUAUGGGACUUGGAAGAGGUUGUGUUCAAUGAUUUGUAAAACAGACUUCAGCAGAAAAUUACCUAACUUCCAAGCUACGUAACUCCUCCAUUAAAAAUGGUAUGACCCUGGAACCAAUUGAGAAAGAAAUUUGGAUAAAUUAUGUUUAACAACAUUAAUUUUGAAGGUGGUUGGAUUUAAUUUGGAUUUUAUAUAAAAUUUUGAAUGUUGUACACUGCUGCUGUCUUCUGGUUUUAAGGCACUACAGAGCAGUCACGGUUUUGCUUAUAUUCCUGAAGCUAGAGUCCGUGAAAAAUUGUGAUUUUUGUUUAAUAGAAAGCUUAAUUCGAGACGGUCGCAUGGCUAUAAGGUUUGCAUAAUUCCGAAAUCGUUUGAUAUUUUAAAAAUAAAACUGAAAUUAGAUUGCCGAUGUUGUUUUGGUGAUUACUUGGAUAUGGAAUUUGAGAAAUAGAUUUUCUAUACUAUUAUCAAAUGUUUUUGAGAAUAUAUUAUUGUGGCAAUUGUUGAGAAAGGUUUGAUAAGAUGUUGGGAAAGAGGGAACCCGUAAGGGUGGUUAAGUCCGAGUUUUAGGGGAGAUGCUGUCGAAAUUUUAUAAAAAACUGAGGUUUUAUUUGAGAAGUCAUUUUAGAAAAUUUGAACUUGAAAAAUUAUAUUAUUUGAGUUUUAUCUAAAUAAGAGAAAAAUUAUACUAUUUUGAAUUUGGAAUUACCAAGAAAAGGUUUAUGUUUCAAGUUUGAAUUAUUUAAGAAAGGAAUUAUGUUGAGUUUGAUUCAUUAUGAAAAGGGUUAUGAUUUGGUCUUGAAAUAAAGGAUUACUUUUCAGGAGUUUGGUGAAUUUUAUAAUAUUUGAAUCCGAAUGAUAAAGAGAAAUGGUUUGAGCUAAGAUGUUGUAAAAGUGAAAGAUGUAUAGUUUGUAUAGUAUGAUUGAAUUUGAAUAGCAUAAGUGAACAGAGAAAGAAAGAGGUACUGCACAAGAAUGUGAAAGUGAAGAUGAAUAAUGAAAAUGAUAAUAAAUGAUGAUAAUGAGAAUGAUUAUAAGAUGAUCUGCUGCGUGAUGGCAGUCAGAUAGAUAGUGGUACGACCACAGAACCUUUUCCAGUGCUACACAGCUAUUGAGAGCUAUACCUGCAACUGAUAGACUGGGAUCACUUGUAGAGGAUAUUAAUUCGUACACGGCUAGAAUGUCGCACCUGUAACGCAAGGAUUGCUUACAGAGGAUAUGAUUUCAUACACGGUUGGAAUGCCGCAACCUGUAAGGCAGGGUCGGCUUACAGAGGAUAUGACGCAUAUGUCGGUUAGUGAGAACUGUACCUAUGCUGACUGGAAAACCAUACCCAUUUCAGCUGCUUCGGGUUACGUCGGGAGCGGGUAGAAACUAACAAAUGAGCUCAUUACCUGCACUAGGGCUAGACAUGCAUCAUCCUUAUUUGCGCAUUUGCAUUUGAUUGUGUUUGCUUGUCUUAUUUCUUUGUAAUUGUGCUGUUUGUCUUGUUGUAAUUUGUUUGAAUGUUCAAUUAAAUCUCUUGCUUGUACUUUUUGCUUCUGAAUGUUUUAAAAAGAUUAAUAAUUGACGUUGUGAUUGAGAACUAAUUAAGUGACUGAAAAAUGAUUGAUAUAAUUAAUCUUGUCAUUGGGAUCUGUUUUGAGUUUAGGAAGAGGCGAUCAAUUAGUUAAAGUAAAGCUAAGAGUAUAUCCAAAAGGUUUGAUGAAAUAUUGUUUCCUUAAGUAUGUUAAUUAUUUGUAUUUUAUUUCAUUACUUUUACGGCAUUCCCGUUCCCUACUGAGAACGUGUGGUUUGUUCUCACCCCAAAAAUCAUCCACCUUUUCAGUGACACAGGUUCGAAGACACAGUGUGAAGCUGCGGGCGAUUAUAGAAUUUAUUUAUGAGUUAAGUGUGAGUUAAUUUGCUUUCAUAGGGUUCCCUCGCCCUUAUUGCUUACGAUUUUUAUUUUAUACAGAGGGAUAGGAUUUGUAUCUGAGUUUUAUUUGAAAUCUUUUGUAUGACAGAUAUUAUUAUUAAUAAUUAUGUGAUUAUUACUACUUGGAAAUGUUUGAUAUAUGAUUUUGAUAAUCAAAAAUAAAAAUUUUUCUGGAAUUUUCCAUAAAACUAAAUCGUGAUAUCGAACUAAAGGCUCAAUAGUAAAUAGUUAAUAAAGGAAAGCAGGUUGGUAACGCCUUACUUUCGGUACGAUCAUGACGUUCUGGAAGUUGGGUCGUUACAAAUGGUAUCAGAGCAGUUCGUUCCUGUUAGAGCCUUGGGAAUGAACUGACUAUGCUUUAUUACAUACUCUGAGUGUCUGUCAUGCUUUGUGACUUGUUCUGGUAACAAGAGUUUGAGUUCUAUAUGCAUGACUGUCUGAUGAUUAACGCUGUUGGUUUACCAUUGCAUGCUUCAUGGUAUUAGGUCUGGCCAACUUAAUACUAAUGAUUUAUGUAUAUGGAAACACUAAUAGGUUAUCAUAGAUGAAAUAGAAGUUAUAAGUGAUGCGACUCACGGGGUUUGGGAGCGUUAGAGGUUAUUAAGUUAGCUUCGAUUCGAUGUAUAAUCUUUAUUCGUGCCACAUGAACUCGUGCCAUCCUUUUCUUUGUUGCUUUCAUUGGAAUUCUCUGGUUUGAAUUUCUUCCUUAGAAUGUGAUUUGAUUGUUUUCCAACCAUACCUUGUCAUUCUUUUAUACCUUUACUUGCCUUUGAAUCUGAUUGCUUACAUAACUCUUUGAAUGUUCAUCCUUGCCAAUGCCUAUACUUUUGUCCAUAUAUUCUGCUUUCUUUGAUUUUAGUUUGAACUUAUUUUAUUCUAGCAAUUUUCGAGGGCGAAAAUUUUUCUAACGUGGGUAGAAUGUAACAACCCUAGCUUUCGAAAAUCAAAUAACUAGUUAUUUGUGAUUUAUUAUAUUUGUUGAUAACUUUAUUUUAAGAAAAUUAUUUUACCAAAGGUAAUUAAAUACAUUUUCAUGAUAAUUGAAGUUAAAUUGAUUAGAAUUUUUAUAUAAUCUUUAUUGGAUAUAUGGUAUAAUUGAAAUUAUAAGUUUGAUAAUUGAAAAAUAAUAGAGAUUUGUAUGAUCUAAUCUAGAAAAUUGAUAUUUGAAUUUAAAUUGUACUUUACAAAAUAUAAUGAACUUGUUCAUUUUAUAAUGUAAAUUAGAAAUAAUUGAUUGAACUUAGCAAUAUGUUGAUAAAUAAUGUUCUUAAAUAUUUUUAAUAAAGUAUAUUUGGUUUUAAAAUUACUCUACCCUUCAAUUUUAUCAAAAUAUCUAUUCAUAUCUAUCCAUAUUCUUUUAUAAAAUCCCUAAUUCCUAAACCUAAAUUCCCAAAUUAAAUCAGAAACCCUAAUUCCCAAAUCCCAGAAACCCUAACCCUAAUUUUUCCCCCAUUUUCCCAGCCUCUGAACGUAGCCCCCAUCCCCUUUCUUCCUAAACCUAACGCUGAAACGGAAUCAGACAGGGAGAGAGGGAGGAAAUCAGAGUGUGAUCUAAGCAGCCACCAUUCAGUCGCCAGAGCCACCGCUGGGGGUCCUUUGCCGUCACUGUCGUCACCAUACACGCGAGUUGCAGCACUGCGAAGUCUAGCCAUCGUGACCUUCGUGGAGCCCGCGUCGCUGUCGCCUCCGCUGUUCCCACUGCCGCUGGAUCCAUCGCGCGUCGUCGCUGAGGAGCCACUGCUGCCAUUGCUCAUUGUCUCCCUUAGGGCCAUCACCGUAGCUGGAGCCAGCCGCCUCCAUCGCCGUUCAUCC
rnacentral:lncRNA from 1 species